rnacentral:sRNA from 1 species
AUAGGUAUUACUGUAUUAUUGAGAGAGGACAUCGUAAUAAAUAUAUAAGUAUCCCGUGAUGUGAUUGAUAUAAAUUAGGGAAGACAUAAUUUUGGCAAAUCUUCUUCUGCCUACAGUAGUUAUUUGAUCAAUAAUCACAUCUGGAUUUAUUCAUUAAUAUAUGGAUAUUUUGGGACAAA